UCAAAUUUAAUUCAAACUGCAACAGGUAAAGCUUCUUCCCCGUACAGUUCUUUGCUGCGUUUUAGUAUUCGUAAUUGAUGGAUUCUUUGGAAAGGAGUAACCUUAAGUCGCCGGCUUCGGUGGAACGGAGUACUCUCAAAUCGACGCCUCCACAGUUGGACAAUAGAUGAAGUACUCACUGGAGUAAUCUUUCUGGGGAUAAGACUCUACAUGGAUACAACAAGCCAGGAGUCGAGAAAUGGAGUUAUCACUGCACUGGUCUUGCUCACUAGGAAUAAUUUGCAGCUAUUUUUCUCACUAGCAGAUUAUUAAAGACAGCAAGGAGGUAUCGAGGUCCUGAGGUAUGCACACAAAAGAGUAUUAAUCGUAUCAAUAAAGACUUCUGAAUUUAUACCAUUGAUUCUAUUACAAAAAAGGAUCUAGCAUUUUUAUUGUUUCGACAAUGCUGAGUUUUGUGAAUUAGGCGACGGCACAGUACAUUCAUGGCACGCUGAACAACUCGAGCAUGACUAUAUCAAAUAUGAUCGGACCACUGAAACAAAUGCCGUUAGCUGAUCAUCUGGUUAAGGACUUUUAUUUUAUGGUAGUUGGGGUUCCGCAGGUAUGUAUAUGUUAAUUAACACAUUUCGUUCAUCCUUUUCAUCAGCUUAGUUGAGGAAGGUCUAUAAUGAUCUACUGCAGAGCCUUACUAUCUAUCUAUAUUAUAAAAGGAUUUAAAUACUGCAGAGCUUAGUUGAGAAAGUUUUACUUAUGAACUGAUUCAAAGGGAUUUAAUCUCUAUUUUUAAUGAUAAAGAAUUGGAACUGUUAAUUAGUGGGCUACCAUAUAUUGAUUGUGAGUUCUCUGAUGCUGUACUUUAUAACUCAGAUAUGUUAAGAGUACUAUGUUCUGUUAUACUAAUUUUUUAUAUAUUAUCCUCUAAAGUGGAUGACAUGAGAAUGAAUACCGAGUAUUUAGGGUAUAGUGCUGGAUUUCCUGUUAUACAGUGGUUUUGGGAGGUUGUACAGAGUCUUAGCAAGGAGGAUACAGCACGACUCUUACAGUUUGUUACUGGCACCUCAAAGGUACAUACUUAGAUUCUGUAUCAUCUAU